rnacentral:rRNA from 1 species
CUACCACAUCCAAGGAAGGCAGCAGGCGCGCAAAUUACCCACUCCCGGCACGGGGAGGUAGUGACGAAAAAUAACAAUACGGGACUCUUUUGAGACCCCGUAAUUGGAAUGAGUACACUCUAAAUCCUUUAACGAGGAUCUAUUGGAGGGCAAGUCUGGUGCCAGCAGCUGCGGUAAUUCCAGCUCCAAUAGCGUAUAUUAAAGUUGUUGCGGUUAAAAAGCUCGUAGUUGGAUCUCAGUCGCAGACGAGCGGUCCGCCUACCGGUGGUUACUGCCUGUUCUGGACAGUCCGCCGGUUUCCUUUGAUGAUCUUCACCGGUUGUCUUGGGUGACCGGCAAGUUUACUUUGAAAAAAUUAGAGUGCUCAAAGCAGGCGUGACGCCUGAAUAAUGGUGCAUGGAAUAAUGGAAUAGGACCUCGGUCUUAUUUUGUUGGUCUUCGAGACACGAGGUAAUGAUUAAGAGGGACAGACGGGGGCAUUCGUAUUGCGACGCUAGAGGUGAAAUUCUUGGACCGUCGCAAGACGAACUACUGCGAAAGCAUUUGCCAAGAAUGUUUCCGUUAAUCAAGAACGAAAGUUAGAGGUUCGAAGGCGAUCAGAUACCGCCCUAGUUCUAACCAUAAACGAUGCCAGCCAGCGAUCCGGCUGUGUUCCUCAAAUGACACGCCGGGCAGCUUCCGGGAAACCAAAGCCUUUGGGUUCCGGGGGAAGUAUGGUU